rnacentral:misc_RNA from 1 species
GAUAAAGAACGUAGCGAAAUGCGAUAAGUAAUGUGAAUUGCAGAAUUCAGUGAAUCAUCGAAUCUUUGAACGCACAUUGCGCCCCCUGGUAUUCCGGGGGGCAUGCCUGUCCGAGCGUCAUUACAACCCUCAAGCUCAGCUUGGUGUUGGGCCCCGCCGCCCCGGCGGGCCCUAAAGUCAGUGGCGGUGCCGUCCGGCUCCGAGCGUAGUAAUUCUUCUCGCUCUGGAGGUCCGGUCGUGUGCUUGCCAGCAACCCCCAAUUUUUUUCAGGUUGACCUCGGAUCAGGUAGGGAUACCCGCUGAACUUAAGUAUAUCAAUAAGCGGAGGA